rnacentral:rRNA from 1 species
UACGGAGGGUGCAAGCGUUAUCCGGAUUCACUGGGUUUAAAGGGUGCGUAGGUGGGUUGAUAAGUCAGUGGUGAAAUCCCCGAGCUUAACUUGGGAACUGCCAUUGAUACUAUUGAUCUUGAAUACCGUGGAGGUCAGCGGAAUAUGUCAUGGUAGCGGUGAAAUGCUUAGAUAUGACAUAGAACACCAAAUUGCGAAGGCAGCUGGCUACGCGAAUAUUGACACUGAGCACGAAAGCGUGGGGAUCAAACAGGAUU